CCUACGGGAGGCAGCAGUAAGGAAUAUUGGUCAAUGGACGAAAGUCUGAACCAGCCAUGCCGCGUGAAGGAUUAAGGCCCUCUGGGUUGUAAACUUCUUUUAUCUGGGACGAAAAAAGGGUAUUCUUACUCACUUGACGGUACCAGAGGAAUAAGCACCGGCUAACUCCGUGCCAGCAGCCGCGGUAAUACGGAGGGUGCAAGCGUUAUCCGGAUUUACUGGGUUUAAAGGGUGCGUAGGUGGGUUUGUAAGUCAGUGGUGAAAUCUCCGAGCUUAACUCGGAAACUGCCAUUGAUACUAUAGAUCUUGAAUUAUCUGGAGGUAAGCGGAAUAUGUCAUGUAGCGGUGAAAUGCUUAGAUAUGACAUAGAACACCAAUUGCGAAGGCAGCUUACUACGGAUAUAUUGACACUGAGGCACGAAAGCGUGGGGAUCAAACAGGAUUAGAUACCCUGGUAGUCCACGCCCUAAACCGAUGGAUACUCGACAUCAGCGAUACACUGUUGGUUGUCUGAGNGAAGANAUUAAGUAUCCACCUGGAGGUACGAUCGCGAGAGUAGAACGUACAAAGAAGUAGUAGACGUGUGAGAGACGACGACGACGACGACGGAGGGAGGAGG
rnacentral:rRNA from 1 species